UACGAAGGGGGCUAGCGUUGCUCGGAAUUACUGGGCGUAAAGGGCGCGUAGGCGGAUAGUUAAGUUGGGGUGAAAGCCCGGGGCUCAACCUCGGAAUUGCCUUCAAUACUGGCUAUCUUGAGUACGGGAGAGGUGUGUGGAACUCCGAGUGUAGAGGUGAAAUGCGUAGAUAUCUGGAGGAACACCGGUGGCGAAGGCGACAUCCUGGACCGGUAUUGACGCUGAGGCGCGAAAGCCAGGGGAGCAAAGCGGG
rnacentral:rRNA from 1 species